rnacentral:rRNA from 1 species
AGUGAACGCUGGCGGUAGGCCUAACACAUGCAAGUCGAACGGCAGCACAGUAAGAGGUUGCUCUUACUGGUGGCGAGUGGUGGACGGGUGAGGAAUACAUCGGAAUCUACUUUUUCGGGGGGGAUAAGGUAGGGAAACUUACGCUAAUACCGCAUACGACCUACGGGUGAAAGCAGUGGAACGUGGGACCUUGCGCGAUUGAAUGAGGAGAUGCCGAGUUGCCUAGAUGGGGGGGUAAAGGCCCACCAAGGCGACGAUCCGUAGCUGGGCUGAGAGGAUGACCAGCCACAUUGGACCUGGGCACCGGUCCAGACUCCUACGGGAGGCAGCAGUGGGGAAUAUUGGACAAUGGGCGCAAGCCUGCUCCAGCCAUACCGCUUGGGUGAAGAAGGCCUUCGGGUUGUAAAGCCCUUUUGUUGGGAAAGAAAAGCAGCAGGUUAAUAACCCGCUGUUCUGACGGUACCCAAAGAAUAAGCACCGGCUAACUUCGUG